AUUGAGUAACCAUCAGUGCAGAGCCGAGUUGGGAAAGUAUUGAAACCCUUAGAUAAGAAAAGAUUCAAUAGAUGAAUUUAGUUACACACGAGAAAAAUUAGUCAACAUGAGGGGCUUGUGAGAGCAAGUGAGCAAGAACAUACCACUGCGAGUUAUUUUGCAUCACUGCUUUUCUAGCAUUUUCGGCUUCCACCGCAACAGAGGAGGUGAACAUUGCGGAC
rnacentral:lncRNA from 1 species